rnacentral:rRNA from 1 species
UGGGGAAUAUUGGACAAUGGGCGAAAGCCUGAUCCAGCCAUGCCGCGUGUGUGAAGAAGGUCUUCGGAUUGUAAAGCACUUUAAGUUGGGAGGAAGGGUUGUAGAUUAAUACUCUGCAAUUUUGACGUUACCGACAGAAUAAGCACCGGCUAACUCUGUGCCAGCAGCCGCGGUAAUACAGAGGGUGCAAGCGUUAAUCGGAAUUACUGGGCGUAAAGCGCGCGUAGGUGGUUAGUUAAGUUGGAUGUGAAAUCCCCGGGCUCAACCUGGGAACUGCAUUCAAAACUGACUGACUAGAGUAUGGUAGAGGGUGGUGGAAUUUCCUGUGUAGCGGUGAAAUGCGUAGAUAUAGGAAGGAACACCAGUGGCGAAGGCGACCACCUGGACUGAUACUGACACUGAGGUGCGAAAGCGUGGGGAGCAAACAGGAUUAGAUACCCGGGUAGUCCCUGAGCGGGCUGGCAAGGCGCAU